UACGUAGGGUGCAAGCGUUAAUCGGAAUUACUGGGCGUAAAGCGUGCGCAGGCGGUGAUGUAAGACAGGUGUGAAAUCCCCGGGCUUAACCCUGGGAACUGCAUUUGUGACUGCAUCGCUGGAGUGCGGCAGAGGGGGAUGGAAUUCCGCGUGUAGCAGUGAAAUGCGUAGAUAUGCGGAGGAACACCGAUGGCGAAGGCAAUCCCCUGGGCCUGCACUGACGCUCAUGCACGAAAGCGUGGGGAGCAAACAGG
rnacentral:rRNA from 1 species